GCGGAAAUAGCUCAGUUGGUAGAGCAUAACCUUGCCAAGGUUAGGGUCGCGAGUUCGAGUCUCGUUUUGCGCU
rnacentral:tRNA from 1 species